rnacentral:other from 15 species
AAAACUGUUUUCUAGGGUUCCGCGGAAGAAAUUCCGGCCUGGUCCGAGAGAAAACACACAGUCGUAUUAUGCUGUGACACGGAAGGAUAAAAGCCUGGGAGAU